UAAUAUCUUGCAGUAAUUUAGUAAUACCUUUCGAACACAUGAUUUUCAGUCAUUCAUGAGUUCGUCAGGUAUUAUCUAGUUAUUGUAAACAUUCAACU
rnacentral:pre_miRNA from 13 species